ACGGGGUGCAGCAGGCGCGAAAUCUUCACAAUGUGCGAAAGCACGAUGAGGGGAUCCCAAGUGUUGGUUCGUAAGAAUCAUCUGUUUCUUUGUCUAAAAAACAGAGAGGGUAAGAGCUGGGUAAGACGGGUGCCAGCCGCCGCGGUAAUACCUGCAGCUCAAGUGGUGGCCGCUAUUAUUGGGCCUAAAACGUCCGUAGCCGGUUUAGUAAAUGCUUGGGUAAAUUGUGUAGCUCAACUAUACGAAUACCGAGUAGACUGCUGAACUUGGGACCGGGAGAGGCUAGAGGUACUCCUAGGGUAGAGGUGAAAUUCUGUAAUCCUAGGGGGACCACCAGUGGCGAAGGCGUCUAGCUAGAACGGGUCUGACGGUGAGGGACGAAGCCCUGGGGCGCAAACCGGAUUAGAUACCCGGGUAGUCCAGGGUGUAAACGCUGCUCGCUUGAUGUUAGUUGGGCUCCGAGCCCAACUAGUGUCGGAGAGAAGUUGUUAAGCGAGCUGCCUGGGAAGUACGUCGCAAGGC
rnacentral:rRNA from 1 species